UUUUCAUUUCUGGUCACAUUUAGUGGGCGGGACAGCCUGGAUCGAUACCCAGGGUACACAUUGCUAACGUUUUGUUUAACAAAAGGACGUGAUACUGCAAAGCAACAUGAAUGAACCGAGUCUGUUUCACUGCUUUCCUGCAGGAAGCACGUAAACAUGAAGCAAAGCUGCAGAGUUCAAUGACGCUGCUGUACCAACAAGCUGUCCGCCUGCACAGCAUUACACAUAAACACACUGCUGUCUGUCACUGCGGGGCCUGCGGCGGGGAAACGGCUCUGCUUCCCCGCAGCCCGGGUCACAAGCAGAGAGAGAAACCUGUGAGGAGAGAAAGAAGCAGACAUGAGGAGUACCCACCGUCUGAACAGAGGAUUGAGACGGGAGAUUCCUCACUUUCUAUCAGAUGCAAGCCGCCAUAUUCGCUGCAGCUCCGCGCAUGUCCACCACGCAGUGCUGUUACUCAUGUUUCUGCUCUGCAGCCUGCAGCUGAGGGAACAAGGAAACACCGACAGAAUGAAGGAGAAAUACCUGAAGGAAGGUCACAGAGAGAGAUCUAUCGAUCCGUGAUCACAUGAAUCAUUGGGAGAAUAAAUAGUUUCAAUGAUAUUAUCAACCAACCAAAUGAAUUAGAAUGAUACCUUAAAAACACUUUAAAUGUGGAUUGAUAAAAAUUUGGACCAAAAAUAAAAAAUACUGUGACAUAAAAGCUUCUUAGUGUGUGAAUAAACAAAGAUUAAUGAACA